UUUGUUACUCUUUCUUAUUCUAAUUGUGUAUUCUUAUUUACUGACGUGUCUCCAGCUUUCAAGGCAGAGUCUCACCCAUUAGGUCUUCUAUAUACAAUUAAAUUUACCUAGAAAGUAUUUCCUUCUUAUUUAAAACUUUUUAAAAGUAAAUUCAUGUAUACAUAUGUAACCAACCUGCAUGUCGUGCACAUGUACCCUAAAACUUAAAGUAUAAUAAUAAUAAAAUUUUUAAAAAAGAAAGAUAACAACCAAAAAACAACAAAAAAGUAAAUUCCAAAAUUUCUAUAUCACAUUACAAAUUCACAUGCCACCCACGAAGAAUACAUUUGCAAAAUAAAUGAUGUCUUGAGACGAAAUGAGUUUUCAAUGAAGAUUUUAGAGACUCUUUAUUUUUAUUUUUAUUUUUUAGACAGAGUCUCACUCUGUCACCCUGGCUGUAGUGCAGUGGCGUGAUCUCGGCUCACCACAACCUCUGCCUUUUAUUUAUUUUUUAUGUAUGUAUUUAUUUAUUUUUUUGAGACAAAGUCUCACUCUGUUGCCCAGGCUGGAGUGCAGUGGCAUGAUCUCGGCUCACUGCAACCUCUGCCUCCCAGGUUCAAGCUAGUCUCCUGCCUCAGCCUCCUGAGUAGCUGGGACUACAGGCGCCCACCACCACGCCUGGCUAAUUUUUGUAUUUUUAGUAGAGACGGGUUUCACCACAUUGGUCAGGCUGGUCUUGAACUUCUGACCUCUGGUGAUGUGCCCGCCUCAGCCUCCCAAAAUGCUGGGAUGACAGGUGUGAGUCACCGCACCUGGCCUCUUUGCUUUUCUUAAGUGACUCCAUGGGGGACCCAUGCAGCCAGCAGCAUCUCGGCUUUUUCUCCCUGGAAGGUGUCUGCAGGAAACCAGCAUCCCAGUUAACUUCAGACGCGAGAGUGUUGAUUAUACACUCAAGGCCCCACAUUAGGGAAGUUUGUGAGUCACAGCCCCACACUGGGUCUCCCAGGGAUCAACAAGAUCCACAAACCAGCAUGGUUAGGACAAGUGGUUUUACAGUCCUUUUUUUUUUUUUUUUUUGUGAGAUGGAGUCUUGCUCUGUCGCCCAGGCUGGAGUGCAGUGGCGCGAUCUCGG
rnacentral:lncRNA from 10 species